UACAGAGGGGGCAAGCGUUAUUCGGAAUUAUUGGGCGUAAAGGGCGCGUAGGCGGUCGGACAAGUGGAAGGUGAAAUCCCCAGGCUCAACCUGGGAACUGCCCUCCAAACUGUUUGACUUGAGUCCGGGAGAGGUGAGUGGAAUUCCCAGUGUAGCGGUGAAAUGCGUAGAUAUCAUUUGGAACGCCAAUGGUGAAAACAGGUUGCUGGGGCUGUGCUGACGCUGAGACACGAAAGCCAGGGGAGCAAACGGG
rnacentral:rRNA from 1 species